GUGUCAGCAGCCGCGGUAAUACGUAGGAUCCAAGCGUUGUCCGGAUUUACUGGGUGUAAAGGGUGCGCAGGCGGAAUGGUAAGUCAGAGGUGAAAUCUCAUCGCUCAACGGUGAAACUGCCUUUGAUACUAUCAUUCUUGAGUCCGAUAGAGAUCUGUGGAAUUCCGAGUGUAGCAGUGAAAUGUGUAGAUAUUCGGAAGAACACCAGUGGCGAAGGCAGCAGAUUGGGUCGGUACUGACGCUCAGGCACGAAAGCAUGGGGAUCAAACAGGAUUAGAUACCCUGGUAGUCC
rnacentral:rRNA from 1 species